GUUCAGCCUUUAUGAGCCAGUUCAAGCUCCCUGCUACCAAACAUCAAAGAAUUUCAAACUGCAGCCUUCGUUCUCUGUCACUUAGGAGACAGAUUUGGAGGCUGGCGGCUCUUUGGCUCUGAGAAAAUCCCUGAAGAAAACAUCUUGGACACCCUGAGGCAUCACCUCACAAGUUGGACACCUGAAAUGCCUUCUAGCAGCAAAACUCAUUCAAAGGAAAUGAUUAUAAUGUUUUCUAGGAAGAAAGGAGUACAAAGACCUCUCAGCCCUAAACCAAAACCAAACAUCUCAGCACAAAUUGGAGCCUUGAUAGCUCAAAGCAAGAGCCUCACAAACAUCUAUUAGAAGCAGGAAAUGUCUAAUGGAAAACUUACAAACAUCUGAUACAUGAAAGAGAAGGCACAAAACAGGAAAGCAGAGGCAUGAACAGCUAAUUGCUGUAGAUUCCUCACAACAUUUGCUGAAACGCAGCAAGACACAGCACCAGCACUGGGGUAUACAACCACCAUUAAAGUAUUAGGAGCAACACUCAGAAAACUGCAACUUUAAAACAAAGCACUAAUACUUGGGACGAAGUGAAGCUGAUUCUGCUUGUGCCUGAGUUUACAAGGAGGUUUUGAAGGUCGCCAGAGGCAUCCUGGCAUGCUGCUUCUCAGCUAAUCCAUGCAAUGAAAGCUUGAAAAGAGGGUGUUUUUUAAAAGUAUGAAUUACUCUUCACACUGAAAGCGAGGCUUAAAAGCAAACUAUACAUUUUGUCAGGUACUGCAAGUGUACACCCCAUCCUACAGCUGAAAUUUGUAUUCAUUUCUGAUAAGCAUUGGUCCAUCUAUGGAAAAUGUGAGGUUUUGAUCAAGAGCAGUGCAUUAUGCUGAGCAUGGACGUGCAGCAAGCACACAGCACCUAUUCUGGCCCCUUGUAAAUGCCUGCUGCUUGUCUGAUUUGAAUAAAGUUAUGCCUGCUACUGUCAGAACUGCAUUUGGCUCAUGGUCUUCAUGCAAAUUGCCUCUUGCCUGAAUGUGCGCACCAUAUUAAGAAUGCAAAUAUGUUUGGACUCAAUGAUUGUUCCUUUAUUUGCUGUACACCACCCUAAUUCACUAGGAGCUGAAUCAGGGUAGUUUUGGUGUAUGCAGGAAGGCAGACUCAGACAAAAAUACAUGAAACUGUUUGCAAAUAAGUUAAUUAUGUCAAUAGAUCUGAUCUGAACAGUAACAUUCUCUGAUAUGCGUAUGACUUCUUGGGUGUAGCCAACAGAAUAAAAAGAGAAAAGGUUUGAAAAGAAUAGUUACUUUUCACAACGCAAAGUGUCUUUUCCUGCGUACACCUCAAUUACACUUACAUCCAGGAUUCCAGGAUUUCCUAUCUGUGAUACUUAGAGCUCUGAAGGCCAGGGUAAGCCAUUUUUAUCUUCCUCUGAAUUUCAAACCACAGAUAUUCUGUGAAAUGAAUUGCUUGUAUUUGACUAUUGGAAAGGCAUCCAGCGCUGAUCUGGAGACAUCUGGAAACCUAAAAAACAAUCCCUCCUUUAUAAUUUGUUCAAAUGAGUGAUAACCAUACCCAUUAAAAAUGUAGAUCCUAUUUCUCAUUUGAAUUUCUAUGAUACACUUUUUCAUUCCUUCUCACUUCCAGCUGUUAUUCUGGACCUUUGCCAACCUUCUGUGAGGCUCUUGGAAAAAAAGUAGAAAUUAUAGUCUGAGACAACAGAAUUAAAAAGAAAGAAAGAAAGAAAAAAAAAAACACAACAGUAUUUCUAUCUUUCAGAAAUAAACAUAUCUUUAACUAGAAAUUUAAUUCAAUGAAAUUUUAAAUUCUCUUUCAGCUUUUCUUGCACAUGCUUAAAAAAACACUUUCAAUUAUUUAGAAGGGAAGCCCCCGGAAAUUAAUGAUACUCCAUUUCCAAAGGUAAAAUGAAACAAAACCAAAAACAAGAAAGCAAACAAAAUCACUUAGCCACAUUUCAAGAGUGCACUUUUCUUUCCUGUGGGAAAAUUCACGCGUUCUUCGCUCCAAGAUAUUAAGUUUGAACUUUCAGUCAUUUAAUGAGUUCCCAAUUCACAGCAUCUAAGCAUGUUUCCUAAGCACAAAACACUUGGGCGCAUUCUUGUUGCAUCCCUGAAUGGAGGCGGAGUGCUGAAUCACGCCGGAGCGCUGGCUGAGCUAUGGCAGCCCACCAUGCUGCAGGAUCCCAGUGCUCCCAGUCCACAGCAGGGAGCAGUAUGCUAGCAAUUACAUCACUCUAGGAAUUAAAGCCAGGCCUCCUCUGCAAACUUUUUCCAGUCCUAUAUAAUGUCACAAAUAUAUAAUGUGAAAUUGAAAACACACGUCUGCCAUAUUUAAAAAGAAACUAUCCACUGGGAUUUAUAUUUGCUCACUUUCAACAUGUACAGACAGCACAAAAUUGAAUAUGUGUACAAAUAAGAAGCAGUAAUCUG
ensembl:lncRNA